CCUAUUAUGAUGGAGGUCGGGGGACUCCCCCUUUUUACAAGGGAUUCCCCUAGUAACGGCGAGUGAAGAGGGAAGAGCUCAAAUUUGAAAGCUGGUACCUUCGGUAUUCGCGUUGUAACCUCGAGASMCGUYUKYCUWRYGGSRCWAUGKACAAGUYCYUKGGAACAGGACAUYGUAGAGGGUGAAAAUCCCGUACUUGCCAUGGAUGUACCGUGCUUUGCGAUACGUGCUCUWAGAGUCGAGUUGUUUGGGAUUGCAGCUCAAAAUGGGUGGUAGACUCCAUCUAAAGCUAAAUAUCGGGGAGAGACCGAUAGCGAACAAGUACCGUGAGGGAAAGAUGAAAAGCACUUUGGAAAGAGAGUUAAAAGUACGUGAAAUUGUCGAAAGGGAAGCGCUUGAAGUCAGCCAUGCCGCUCAGGACUCAGCCUGGCUUUUGCUUGGUGUAUUUCCUGGGUAGCAAGUCAGCAUUGGUUUGGAUCGUCGGAGAAGCAUAGUCGGAAUGUGGCUGCRCMCWYGGGSGUGYUAUAGCCUUCUAUUGGAUACGACGAUAUAGACCAAGGAACGCAGCGCGCCUUAUGGCGGGUCUUCGGACACCUUCGCGCUUAGGAUGCUGGGGCAUAAUACAGUGAGGGGUUGUCGCCUCCCUUCUAAGGGGGG
rnacentral:rRNA from 1 species